rnacentral:rRNA from 1 species
CCUACGGUAGGCAGCAGUGGGGAAUAUUGCACACUGUGGGACACCCUGAUGCAGCGACGCCGCGUGAGUGAAGAAGUAUUUCGGUAUGUAAAGCUCUAUCAGCAGGGACGAAAAUGACGGUACCUGAUUAAGAAGCCCCGGCUAACUACGUGCCAGCAGCCGCGGUACUACGUAGGGGGCCAGCGUUAUCCGGAUUUACUGGGUGUAGAGGGAGCGUAGACGGCAGCGCAAGUCUGAAGUGAAAUGGCGGGGCUUAACCCCGGAACUGCUUUGGAAACUGUGCAGCUAGAGUGCAGGAGAGGUAAGUGGAAUUCCUAGUGUAGCGGUGAAAUGCGUAGAUAUUAGGAGGAACACCAGUGGCGAAGGCGGCUUACUGGACUGUAACUGACGUUGAGGCUCGAAAGCGUGGGGAGCAAACAGGAUUAGAUACCCUGGUAGUC